AUGGGGCCCUAUGGGGUCUAUGGGUCUCUAUGGGUCCCUAUGGGGUCCCUAUGGGUCUCUAUGGGGUCUAUAGGGCUCUAUGGGGGCCGGUAUGGGGUUAUAUGGGGUAAUAUGGGAUCUAUGGGGCAUCUAUGGGGUCCUAUGGGGUCUUAUGGGGCUCUAUGGGGUCUAUGGGUCCCUAUGGGGCUCUGUGUGGUCUCUAUGGGUCUCUAUGGGUCUCUAUGGGUCUCUAUGGGUCCCUAUGGGUCCCUAUGGGUCUCUAUGGGGCUCUAUGGGGUCCUAUGGGUCUCUAUGGGGUCUCUAUGGGGUUUCUAUGGGGUCUAUGGGGUCUCUAUGGGGCCCUAUGGGGUCUCUAUGGGGUUCUAUGGGGUCUCUAUGGGUUCCUAUGGGUCCCUAUGGACUGUUAUGGGGUGGCUAUGGGGUAUCUAUGUGUCUCUAUGGGGUCCUAUGGGGUCUAUAGGGCCCAAUGUGGGGUCCUAUGGGUCCCUAUGGGUCCCUAUGGGGUCUAUGGGUCCCUAUGGGUCCCUAUGGGGUCCCUAUGGGUUCUAUGGGGUCUCUAUGGGUCUCUAUGGGUCUCUAUGGGGUUUUAUGGGGCUCUGUGGGUCUCUAUGGGGCUCUAUGGGGUCUGUGGGGUCUCUAUGUGUCCCUGUGGGGCUCUAUGUGGGAUCUAUGGGGCUCUAUGGGGUCUGUGGGGCCCUAUGGGGUCUCUAUGGGGUCAUUUGGGUCUCUAUGGGGUCUCUAUGGGUCCCUAUGGGGCUCUAUGUGGGGUCUAUGGGGUCUCUAUGGGUUUCUAUGGGGUCCAUAUGGGGCUCAAUGUGGUUUAUGGGGUCCUAUGGUGUCUCUAUGGGGUCAAUUGAGUCUCUAUGGGUCUCUAUGGGGUCUCUAUGGGUCUCUGUGGGGUCCUAUGUGGUCUUAUGGGGCUCAAUGGAGUCUAUGGGGUCCUAUGGGUCUCUAUGGGGUCCUAUAAGGUUCUAUGGGGUCUAUGGGUCUCUAUGGGUCUCUGUGGGGUCCUAUGGGGUCUUAUGGGGCUCAAUGGGGUCCUAUGGGUCUCUAUGGGGUUCUAUGGGGCUCUAUAUGGUCCUAUGGGUCUCUAUGGUGCCCUAUGGGUCUCUAUGGGGUUUCUAUGGGGCUGACCCCCAUCUAUGGGGUUUCUAUUCCCUUACAGAGCUCAGAACACAGGGAAGGGUCCCCCCCCCCCAGCACCGAUGUUCGAGGGGGUUUAUAACAACUCCCGGAUGCUGCACUUCCUCACUGCUGUGGUGGGUUCUCGCUGUGCCGUCCGUGUUCGCAGCGGUUCCACCUUCGAGGGAAUCUUCAGGACGCUCAGCUCCAAGUUUGAGCUGGCCUUGGAGGCCGUCCAUAGGGGCGGAUCCGGGGGACCCCGAAGGGAAGAGAUCGUGGACACGAUGGUGUUUGGGGUCAGCGACGUCGUCAGCGCCACCUUUAGGGACGUACAUGUGGGGGCUGCACCCGGAGGUGAGAUAUGGGGUCUAUAUAGGGUUAUAUGGGGGGAUAUGGGGUUCUAUGGGGGAUAUAGGGCUCUAUGGGGGGAUAUAGGGUUCUAUAGGGAUCUAUGGGGUCAUAUAGGUCCUAUGGGGUCCUAUGGGGUUCUAUGGGGUCCUAUGGGGCUCUAUGGUGUCUCUAUGGGGUCUCUAUGGGGCUCUAUAGGGCUCUAUGGGGUCCUAUGGAGCUCUAUGGGAUCCUAUGGAGUCCUAUGGGUCUCUAUGGGGCACUAUGAGGCUCUAUGGGGUCCUAUGGGGGGAUAUGGGGUCUCUAUGGGGUCCUAUGGAUCUCUAUGGGGCUCUAUGGGGUCCUAUAGGACACUAUGGGGCACUAUGGGGUUCCUAUGGGGUCCUAUGGGGUCCUAUAGGGCACUAUGGGGCUCUAUGGGGUCUCUAUGGGGUUUUAUGGGGUCCUAUAGGGCACUAUGGGUCUCUAUGGGGUCUCUAUGGGGUUUUAUGGGGUCCUAUAGGGCACUAUGGGGCUCUAUGGGGUCCUAUAGGACACUAUGGGGUCUCUAUGGGGUUCUAUGGGGUCCUAUGGGGUCCUAUAGGGCUCUAUGGGGUCCUAUGGGACUCUGUGGGGCUCUAUAGGGCACUAUGGGGCUCUAUGGGAUUCUGUGGGGCUCUAUGGGGUCCUAUAGGGCUCUAUGGCGUUUCUAUGGGGCUCUAUGGGGUCAUAUAGGGUCCUGGUGGGGGAUAUGGGGUUAUAUGGGGUUAUAUGGGGUCCUAUGGGGGGAUAUGGGGUUAUAUGGGGUCCUAUAGGACACUGUGGGGCUCUAUGGGGUCCUAUGGGGAGCUAUGGGGUGGAUAUGGGGCUCUAUGGGGUGGACACGAUGGUGUUUGGGGUCAGCGACGUCGUCAGCGCCACCUUUAGGGACGUACAUGUGGGGGCUGCACCCGGAGGUAACGGAUAUGGGGUUAUAUGGGGUUAUAUGGGGCCCUAUGGGGU
ensembl:lncRNA